AAGCGGGAAACUCGCCUUAAGAUGAGAUAUCCCUGGAGGCUUGACCUCCUUGAAGGGUCGUUCGAGACCAGGACGUUGAUAGGUCGGGUGUGUAAGCGCAGUAAUGCGUUCAGCUAACCGAUACUAAUUGCCCGUAAGGCUUGAUCCUAUAACA
rnacentral:rRNA from 1 species